CGGACGGGUGAGUAAUGUCUGGGAAACUGCCUGAUGGAGGGGGAUAACUACUGGAAACGGUAGCUAAUACCGCAUAACGUCGCAAGACCUAAAAGAGGGGGACCUUCGGGCCUCUUGCCAUCGGAUGUGCCCAGAUGGGAUUAGCUAGUAGGUGGGGUAACGGCUCACCUAGGCGACGAUCCCUAGCUGGUCUGAGAGGAUGACCAGCCACACUGGAACUGAGACACGGUCCAG
rnacentral:rRNA from 1 species